AAUAAGUCCAUCAAAAUAUGAACGAUAAAAAAAAAUAAAAAUAUUUAUAUUAAAAAAGAGAAAAACGCGACAAAUGAACGUCACAGAAGUUAUUAUGACGUAAUGUAUCCAAGCGAUGUAAUUGUUGUUUCAAUGUUGUAAUUUAUUCCAAUGAAGACGACAGUAAUGGCCGAAACGUAUGGGAAUUUGUGUUAUAGUUUUUAUUAUACAAUCAUUCAGAGACUUUAUAUAUAUAAGUACGUCUAAGCAAGUGACAAAUCUACGAC
rnacentral:lncRNA from 1 species